CCGAGUCGUCAACAUGGGUUGUUGCUGGUCCUCAAAUGGGGGCAUGUGCACGCUCUGUUCACACAUCCACUCACACCUGUGCACCCUCUGUAGUUCUGCGGUUCGGGGGAUGCGUCGCAUCCCUCCUGUGGUUCUAUGUCUUUACACACACGCUGUAGCGAAGUCUUAUGGAAUGUGCGCCGCGUUUAACGCGAUACAAUA
rnacentral:misc_RNA from 1 species